rnacentral:rRNA from 1 species
AACGAACGCUGGCGGCAUGCCUAACACAUGCAAGUCGAACGAGACCUUCGGGUCUAGUGGCGCACGGGUGCGUAACGCGUGGGAACCUGCCCUUAGGUUCGGAAUAACUCCCCGAAAGGGGUGCUAAUACCGGAUAAUGUCUUCGGACCAAAGAUUUAUCGCGUUUGGAUGGGCCCGCGUUGGAUUAGCUAGUUGGUAGGGUAAAAGCCUACCAAGGCGAGGAUCCAUAGCUGGUCUGAGAGGAUGAUCAGCCACACUGGGACUGAGGCACGGCCCAGACUCCUACGGGAGGCAGCAGUGGGGGAUAUUGGCCAAUGGGCGAAAGCCUGAUCCAGCAAUGCCGCGUGAGUGAUGAAGGCCUUAGGGUUGUGAAGCUCUUUUACCCGGGAUGAUAAUGACAGUACCGGGAGAAUAAGCUCCGGCUAACUCCGUG